GACGAACGCUGGCGGCGUGCUUAAUACAUGCAAGUCGCACGAGAAUGUCCUUUCGGGGAUAAGUAAAGUGGCGCACGGGUGCAUAACACGUGGAUAAUCUACCUUCGAGUGGGGAAUAACCUUCCGAAAGGAGGGCUAAUACCACAUGACACGGCAGGAACUUCGGUUUUUGUCGUCAAAGGUGGCCUCUAUUUAUAAGCUAUUGCUUGAAGAUGAGUCCGCGUCCUAUCAGCUAGUUGGUGAGGUAACGGCUCACCAAGGCUACGACGGGUAGCUGGUCUUAGAGGACGACCAGCCACACUGGAACUGAAACACGGUCCAGACUCCUACGGGAGGCAGCAGUAGGGAAUAUUGGACAAUGGGGGAAACCCUGAUCCAGCGACGCCGCGUGAGCGAUGAAGGUUUUCGGAUCGUAAAGCUCUGUCAGGAGGGGCGAAAAAGUUUGGUGCUAAUAUCAUCAGACCUUGACUGUACCUCCAAAGGAAGCACCGGCUAAUUCCGUGCCAGCAGCCGCCGUAA
rnacentral:rRNA from 1 species